AUGUUUGUUUAUGAAAGGUGCAGGAACAGAUUAAAACAUGACACUGCUCAUACUUUGAACCCAUUCUGGAUGACUCCAUGCAAGCCUUGAACAUCCAUGCCUGUAGAGGUAACAUUAUAAAAGAAUGGUGGCUGCAUGCUGUUCAUGAAAUCCACAACAUGAGAGAUAACAAGUGAAACCUGUCCAAGAUAACCCUAGAAUGAGUCUGUCAUUCCUGCUUUGGAAUCGGAGAAGUAGCCAAAUCCUUGAUCCCACCUCAGCCAUACGUGUGGAGAAAGCUUUAAUGCCCAGGGGAAUCAGCAGAGAAAUUAGACAAGUUAAUGCAAGGCCAUGCAACUUUCCAUCAUGAGAAAAGUGGUACGCUGACCAGAUUGGACUGUUGUACUCCUGUGGGAAGAGAAGCAAUGAGUGCUGCUUUCUGAGUGUGAUACACAGGCACUAAAUAAUUUGUGCUCUCUUUGGAGUUCAUUUGGACAUCUCCUAGUUCUAUUUUUUCAAAUCAAUCAGUUUUCAUCACUGAAAAACACAGAAAGAGGCAUCAAAAGGUGUACAGAUGAAUGUAGACUCUGAAAGCAAGGGGAGUAGUGCAUGAUGAGAAAAUAAUUUUUAAAGUGGAUCAAUUAGAAAGAAAUAUAAAACUGGGGAAUAUUGUUGGGAUCAUAAGUUAUCACACAAUGUUGUAGGAGAGAGAAUGUAUGCAGCAGCCAUCUGUUGCCAGCCAGAUGUUAGAAACUCUGAAACAUCUUCACCACCAAAAGUCAAGGAGCAUUUAUUAUAGCGAAAAAGUCACUUUGCCUGAACAAAGCAAGUUUUGCC
rnacentral:lncRNA from 1 species